UACGGAGGGUGCAAGCGUUAUCCGGAUUUACUGGGUUUAAAGGGUGCGUAGGUGGGUCUGUAAGUCAGUGGUGAAAUCUCCGAGCUUAACUCGGAAACUGCCAUUGAUACUAUAGGUCUUGAAUUAUCUGGAGGUGAGCGGAAUAUGUCAUGUAGCGGUGAAAUGCUUAGAUAUGACAUAGAACACCAAUUGCGAAGGCAGCUCACUACGGAUAUAUUGACACUGAGGCACGAAAGCGUGGGGAGCAAACAGG
rnacentral:rRNA from 1 species